AUUCUUGCCUAGCAAGGGAGAUACCAUGUUCAUGAAGGUUGUUUUCUCAGGGUGAGGCUCAUCCAUUGCUCUCAGGAUAGCUGACCCCGUGCUAUUCCCCCAAAUGUGGAAAACUUAACUGUAUAAUUUGUGGUAGUGGAGUACUGUAUUCAUACUUUCUCCUG